CCAGUCUGCCUCAACUAUGAGAUCAGUGUCUGCUGCACCCCCAACCGCCCAGAGUGUCUUCCAACUCCAAGCACCCCGAGCACCCCAAGCACCACACCUUCCACAGCUUCACCCACAACGACCAGUGUGUCCACUCCAAGAUCAACAACCACUCCAACGCCAACACCAGAGACUCCCAGCAGUACCACCCCUACCACCACCACCACCACUACGACCACGAUGUCCCCCAGCACCCCCACCACCAGUGGCAGCACCUCACAGACAACACCAACUGUUCCUGUCUCAACUACACCCAUUUCAACUACUUCAAGCACAGCCACGCCCACACCAACAUACACCACCACCACACCAACUCCAGUCACGCCGAGCAAAGCAUCCACUACACCAGAAUUGCCAACCACAUCACCGGAGACUCACAGUACCACCACGACCACCACCAGCUCUCCGACCACAACCACAACUGGUACUGGAUCACCAACACCCACCUCAACUACUUCAAGCACAUCCUCUCCCACACCAACAUACACCAACACCCUGCCAACUCCAGGCACACCUCCACCCACACCGAGCACACCACAAUCGACAACGACUCCCUCAACACCAGAGACUACCACCACCACCACCACCAGCCCUCCGAGCACAACAACCACUGUUCCUGUACCAACACCAACACCCACUUUGACUACUUCAAGCACAUCCUCACCAACACCAACAUACACGACCACCCUACCGACUCCAAGCACACCUCCACCCACACCGAGCACACCAAAGUCGACAACAACUCCCUCAACACCAGAGACUACCACCACCACCACCACCAGCCCUCCGAGCACAACAACCACUGUUCCUGUACCAACACCAACACCCACUUUGACUACUUCAAGCACAUCCUCACCAACACCAACAUACACGACCACUCUACCAACUCCAGCCCCACCUACGUCCACACCGAGCACACCAAAAUCGACAACAACUCCCUCAACACCAGAGACUACCACCACCACCACCACCAGCCCUCCGAGCACAACAACCACUGUUCCUGUACCAACACCAACACCCACUUUGACUACUUCAAGCACAUCCUCACCAACACCAACAUACACGACCACUCUACCAACUCCAGCCCCACCUACGUCCACACCGAGCACACCAAAAUCGACAACAACUCCCUCAACACCAGAGACUACCACCACCACCACCACCAGCCCUCCGAGCACAACAACCACUGUUCCUGGACCAACACCCAGCUCAACUCCUGAAAAUAUUAUCACCAUAACCCAACCGGUUCCACCCACAGAAGCAAUAAGUAAUUCCCAGGGUUUCAUGUCUUUUGCUGGUUUUAGAAAACAGAGUUUAUUGGCAGCUUAAUAUGUGUUUUAGUU
rnacentral:lncRNA from 1 species